rnacentral:rRNA from 1 species
AUAAUGGGUCAGCGACUUAUAUUCUGUAGCAAGGUUAACCGAAUAGGGGAGCCGAAGGGAAACCGAGUCUUAACUGGGCGUUAAGUUGCAGGGUAUAGACCCGAAACCCGGUGAUCUAGCCAUGGGCAGGUUGAAGGUUGGGUAACACUAACUGGAGGACCGAACCGACUAAUGUUGAAAAAUUAGCGGAUGACUUGUGGCUGGGGGUGAAAGGCCAAUCAAACCGGGAGAUAGCUGGUUCUCCCCGAAAGCUAUUUAGGUAGCGCCUCGUGAAUUCAUCUCCGGGGGUAGAGCACUGUUUCGGCAAGGGGGUCAUCCCGACUUACCAACCCGAUGCAAACUGCGAAUACCGGAGAAUGUUAUCACGGGAGACACACGGCGGGUGCUAACGUCCGUCGUGAAGAGGGAAACAACCCAGACCGCCAGCUAAGGUCCCAAAGUCAUGGUUAAGUGGGAAACGAUGUGGGAAGGCCCAGACAGCCAGGAUGUUGGCUUAGAAGCAGCCAUCAUUUAAAGAAAGCGUAAUAGCUCACUGGUCGAGUCGGCCUGCGCGGAAGAUGUAACGGGGCUAAACCAUGCACCGAAGCUGCGGCAGCGACGCUGAUGCGUUGUUGGG